rfam:Triticum aestivum genome assembly, contig: Triticum_aestivum_CS42_TGACv1_scaffold_513857_6BS
CUGCUACUCCCUCCGUUCGGAAUUACUUGUCGCAGAAAUGGAUGUAUUUAGACGUAUGUUAAGUUCUAGAUACAUCCAUUUUCGAGACAAGUAACUCCGAAUGGAGGGAGUACGAU